AGACAGCCACUUCUUCCCAGCUGCUUCGCCAGCCCUGGCAAGAGGGCACACUCUUCCAAAAGCCAGCCUGCCUGGGGAGGAGGUUGCUCCACACUGAAGUGUCCAUUUUGCUUGGAGAUGGAUGCUAAGAUGUAAACUGACUGAUCACCCCAGGUAACUGUCUCUCCACAUCAAUCUAUUGAUUCUCACUGCAUGGAGUGAAGAAGAAACCACCAGAUCAGAUAAGUCGACAUUUUCACUGGACCGAUUGGACUGAAAAGGCAAGAUUGAAUGAGGCAGUUCUUGUUAGCAGCGUGAGAACAGACUAGUACGUGAUGGGACAGUCCCUGCUGU
rnacentral:lncRNA from 1 species